GAUGAACGCUAGCGGCAGGCCUAAUACAUGCAAGACGAACGGUAAGUUGAGUAGCAAUACUUAGCCAAGAGUGUCGUACGGGUGCGUAACACGUAUGCAACCUACCCUAUACAGGAGGAUAGCCUAGGGAAACCUGGAUUAACCCUUCAUAGUAUUAUUGGAUGGCAUCAUUUGAUAAUUAAAACUGAGGUGGUAUAGGAUGGGCAUGCGUCUGAUUAGUUAGUUGGCGGGUAAUGGCCCACCAAGACGAUGAUCAGUAGGGGUUCUGAGAGGAAGAUCCCCCACACUGGCACUGAGAUACGGGCCAGACUCCUACGGGAGGCAGCAGUAGGGAAUAUUGGUCAAUGGAUGCAAGUCUGAACCAGCCAUGCCGCGUGCAGGGAAGAAGGCCUUCUGGGUUGUAAACUGCUUUUGCCAGGGAUAAAUUCCAUG
rnacentral:rRNA from 1 species